CUUGGUCAUUUAGAGGAAGUAAAAGUCGUAACAAGGUCUCCGUAGGUGAACCUGCGGAGGGAUCAUUACAGAGUUCAUGCCCUCACGGGUAGAUCUCCCACCCUGUGUUAUAUUACCUUUGUUGCUUUGGCGGGCCGUUACCUCACGGCUAGCCACCGGCUUAGGCCGGUGUGUGCCCGCCAGAGGACCCCAAACUCUGAAUAUUAGUGUCGUCUGAGUACUAUAUAAUAGUUAAAACUUUCAACAACGGAUCUCUUGGUUCUGGCAUCGAUGAAGAACGCAGCGAAAUGCGAUAAGUAAUGCGAAUUGCAGAAUUCAGUGAGUCAUCGAAUCUUUGAACGCACAUUGCGCCCCGUGGUAUUCCGCGGGGCAUGCCUGUUCGAGCGUCAUUUAACCACUCACGCCUAGCGUGGUAUUGGGGCACGCGGUCUCGCGGCCCUCAAAAUUAGUGGCGGCGCCGGUGGGCUCUAAGCGUAGUACAUACUCCCGCUAUAGAGUUCCCCCGGUGGCUCGCCAGAACCCCCAAUUUUUUACAGGUUGACCUCGGAUCAGGUAGGGAUACCCGCUGAACUUAAGCAUAUCAAUAAGCGGAGGA
rnacentral:rRNA from 1 species